UAGGGAAUCUUCCGCAAUGGACGCAAGUCCGACGGAGCAACGCCGCGUGAGUGAAGAAGGAUUUCGGUUCGUAAAACUCUGUUGUUAGAGAAGAACAGCGCAUAGAGUAACUGUUAUGCGUGUGACGGUAUCUAACCAGAAAGCCACGGCUAACUACGUGCCAGCAGCCGCGGUAAUACGUAGGUGGCAAGCGUUGUCCGGAUUUAUUGGGCGUAAAGCGAGCGCAGGCGGUCAAUUAAGUCUGAUGUGAAAGCCCCCGGCUCAACCGGGGAGGGUCAUUGGAAACUGGUUGACUUGAGUGCAGAAGAGGAGAGUGGAAUUCCAUGUGUAGCGGUGAAAUGCGUAGAUAUAUGGAGGAACACCAGUGGCGAAGGCGACUCUCUGGUCUGUAACUGACGCGGAGGCUCGAAAGCGUGGGUAGCAAACAGG
rnacentral:rRNA from 1 species